AUUGAACGCUGGCGGCAGGCCUAACACAUGCAAGUCGAGCGAGCGGCGGACGGGUGAGUAAUGUCUGGGAAACUGCCUGAUGGUGGGGGAUAACUACUGGAAACGGUAGCUAAUACCGCAUACCAUCAGAUGUGCCCAGAUGGGAUUAGCUAGUAGGUGGGGUAAAGGACUACCAAGGCGACGAUCCGUAACUGGUCUGAGAGGAUGAUCAGACACACUGGAACUGAGACACGGUCCAGACUCCUACGAGAGGCAGCAGUGGGGAAUAUUGGACAAUGGGCGCAAGCCUGAUGCAGCCAUGCCGCGUGUGUGAAGAAGGUCUUCGGAUUGUAAAGCACUUUUGGUUGGGAGGCGUUACCAACAGAAUAAGCACCGGCUAACUACGUGCCAGCAGCCGCGGUAAUUC
rnacentral:rRNA from 1 species